UCUCCGUAGGUGAACCUGCGGAGGGAUCAGUACAGAGUUCAUGCCCUAACGGGUAGAUCUCCCACCCUAUGUUAUCAUCACUUUGUUGCUUUGGCGGGCCGUCAGGCCUCGGCUUGGCUACCGGCUCUCGCUGGUAAGCGCCCGCCAGAGAACCCCAAACCCUGAAUAUCAGUGUCGUCUGAGUACUAUAUAAUAGUUAAAACUUUCAACAACGGAUCUCUUGGUUCUG
rnacentral:misc_RNA from 1 species